rnacentral:lncRNA from 1 species
AUUAAAAUUUAAUUUUUAAAUUUAAAUUUAAAUUUAAAUUCAAAUUUAAAUUUAAAUUUAAAUUCAAAUUUAAAUUCAAAUUUAAAUAAAAAUAAAAAUUUUAAAAUUUUAAUUUAAAUAUAAAGUCAUAAAUUUGAAUUUAAAAAUUUUAUGUCAAAUUUGAAUUUAUAAAUAAAAUUCAAAAUGUGAUCAUGAUUUUAAUUCAAAUUUAAAGUGAAAUUCAAUGUGAGAUCCCUGGUGUUUGACUGUGGAGGCUUGUCGAUAGCUCUGGAGAGUGUCGGGACAAGUCCAAGUCGCGUUGGCGUCAAAUAGACGCAAAACGGACUCCGUGGGACGCAAGAGCAGCCUUCAGCGAAGAAAUCUGC